UACGGAGGGGGCUAGCGUUGUUCGGAAUUACUGGGCGUAAAGCGCACGUAGGCGGCUUUGUAAGUUAGAGGUGAAAGCCCAGGGCUUAACCCUGGAGUUGCCUUUAAGACUGCAUCGCUAGAAUCGUGGAGAGGUGAGUGGAAUUCCGAGUGUAGAGGUGAAAUUCGUAGAUAUUCGGAAGAACACCAGUGGCGAAGGCGACUCACUGGACACGUAUUGACGCUGAGGUGCGAAAGCGUGGGGAGCAAACAGG
rnacentral:rRNA from 1 species